rnacentral:rRNA from 1 species
CCCCUAGAUGUUCUGGGCCGCACGCGCGCUACACUGAACAGUUCAACAAGUCUUAACCUUGGCCGAUAGGUCUGGGUAAUCUUUGAACGCUGUUCGUGAUUGGGAUAGACCUUUGCAAUUAUGGGUCUUCAACGAGGAAUUCCUAGUAAACGCAAGUCAUCAGCUUGCAAUGAUUACGUCCCUGCCCUUUGUACACACCGCCCGUCGCACCUACCGAUUGAAUGGUCCGGUGAAAUCUCGGGACGGCGGCUUGGUCGCUUGCGUCCGACUGCUGAAACUUGAUUAAACCAUAUCAUUUAGAGGAAGGUGAAGUCGUAACA